UUGUAAAUAAAAAAUUAAACCCUAACUUUUCCCUCUCCCAUAUUUCUCUUCUAGAUCGCAAUCCCACGCCCCUUUCCGUCUGCUCGAUCGCAAGCCCCCACGUCUUCUUCUGUCUGAUCGAUUGUAAGCCACCGUAAGAGGUUCGUCUGCUGUCGUCGCUGAAGACAUUGUGUUUGUCCGUCGCUGAAGAUUUGGUGUGUUCGUCCGCCAUCGUUUAGAACAGGUUCAUCCGCAAUAGUUCAUCCGCCGCUGCAACAGUUCGUCUAUUGCCGCAACAGGUUCUUCCGUCGCAAUAGGUUCGUCCCCUGCAACAGUAGUUUAAGAAAUUAGUAGUAGUAGCGGUGGAAGUAACGAACGACGAUGGAAACCAUUGGCACUUCGAUUUGCUAGCAGCUAUGAGGACACUUGAGGGUGGGUUCAAUGCUAGGGCUUAAAGUGAUGGCUUACGAUUUACCCCUCGGUCGUCAACUCGGCUACGGCUACUCGGGAUAUAUAGAGCUUCUUCUGGUAAUGUAAGCAAGCAAUUCUAUUUCUUUUCACUGCUUUAGAACUUUUAAAGUGCUUUUUGAUCAUGUUCUGUACACUUUCUUUUGGUUACAACUUGUAGGGCAGAGUUAGUAAAAUGACUUGAAAUUAAAAAAAGUAAAAUAAAAAUUUGGUUAAAGCUAUUCUAUCACUCUUCUUUAUGUUGCUACUGCAGCUUCUACGCCUAAAAUUCAUCAUGGCAUCUCUAAUUUCCUCCUCUAUAGCUUUUAAGUUCAACAGUAAGUAGUGAUUUGUAUUGUUCUAUAGUUGUUCACUCCCAAUUUGAUAUUGACAUUCACCUGUUAGGCUUGGUCGAAAUAGAUCCAAACAAAAGAAUGCCACAUUUCACCUCAGAGAGAAGAGGGUUAAAUACAUGGCUUUUCAUUUCCUUUUUUUGUACAGAGUAAAAUAUUCUUUUAAGGAACUCUAUUUCUAAUUUUCUUGGUAGUUUUUUCUGUGGCUAAUGCUAUGUUUACCUUAGAAUUUUUCAUAUUUACUUUGAUAGUUCAUGAUCUUCUUGUUCUUCAUGAUUUUCAUAUUUAAUAGGAGCCUACUGUCCCUCCCCCAUGUUUUGAUUCUCCUCCUUGACACUUGCUAAUAUGUAGAUCUAUGCUCCAAGGUACUCAUUCUUUUCUAUACUAGAAAAUUGUUGUUGUGCACUUUUUAAUAUCUUGUUGACUUGAGCUUCAGUUCUAGAUUGUUCUUUCUAAUUUUUUGGUUUGUGGUCAUCUGAUUUGUAACUUUGUUUGGAAAUUCCACUGUUUACUCAAUGAUUCAGUUCUAUGAAGGAUGAAUUUUGUUAUAGUUAUUUGAUAUUCAAUUAACUGGAGUGCAACAUCAGGCAUGUAGAUGUAGAUGAUUAUGCAUAUAUAAUAAUAUCAGAUUAUGUGCCAAUGCCAUGUCCUUUGUUGUUGAAGUAUGUUGCCUUCUUUGUUUUUAGUUUAUAUAGUCUUUCAUCACUAGCAGCACAAAUAGAAUUUGGAAUGUUUGUUCUUGUCACUAUUGCUGCUGGAGGGACUGGGCAGUUUGCUAGGUUUAAUAAUUAUUGCCUAUCUUUCUUGUAGUAGCUUCUUAUUUUACAUAUAAUGUAUUUUCCUUCAAAUGAUGUGAAGAAAUAUCUUAAAUGUGUGUAAAUUGGAACUCCUUUGUUUAGUCCAACGAGAAAAUUACUUCUAACUCUCCUCCAUCUUCAGUCUGUUUAAACCAUUUCCUGACAUUUGUGGUAAUUAGUAAUUUCAGUCGUUAGAUAAAUGCCAUUAAAAUUAUGGUGUAAGGUUUAAUUUGAAAGAUGAAAUGCAUUCUUUAGUUCAAGAAAUGUGAGGAUACAUUCCAAAAAGCCAGUUUUCCCUUCAAAUCUAGUCAUUUAGUUCGGCAGGGGCAUAUUUUAAGUUUUUGAUUUUCCAUGUCGUCCUAAAGAUGGAGUAUCCUAAAGGCAUUGAUAUCAUCUGUGAGUCAGUUGGAGGCUAUAUGUUUAGUUUUUGUUUGAAUGCAUUGGCUACCUAUGGAUGACUAAUUUUUAUUGGAAUGAUCUCACAGGGUAGUUUUUAGAAGCCUACAUCUUGUUGCUUUGUACUUGACUUUUGUUAAUGGAACAUUUCGACUGUUACGAUACUGUAUUUCAUUCUUGUGAAGUUUGAAUUGGAUAUAUUUGUAAAGUCUGUUAAUGUAACAUCCAAGAGGGUUGAAGACUUGUUAGGAAAAACCAUGGUAUAUUACUACAUGUUUCAAGGUUGCCGAGUAAAAAUUGGAAGACUAUAUAGUUAUUGAGUAGAUUGGGAGGGGAGCAUUUGAAUCGACUUUUCUUGUUUAUCACAAGGCUAAGAAGAAAAGAAAUGAAACAAAUUUUUGCUUAUGGCAAAGCAAAUAGAGAAGUUCAAGCGCACUGCCCACCAAGAGGUUAGUUUAUUUCAAACCUAUAUCAACUAUUUAACUGUUUGAACUACUGCUCAUUAUUCCCAAGAUAUGAUCAAAUUGACUCUCUUCAGCCUUUAAAUUUUGUCAACUACAAACGAAUUGCUAGUUAACUCAUGGGGUAAAUAAAUUGCUAUUAACUUAGGAAAUGUUUAAUGCCUGGCUCACAUUCGACGAUAAUGCUUAAUGAUACAAAACAGAUCAUAUAGAAAUGGAAUUUUAUGUUGACAAAUGUGGGCAGCGUAAAUUAUGGAAGAUGGAAGAUUGUAGUUUAAGAUAUUUGCACUCCAAUCGAGUGCUACAUAGAGAUCUUAAGGUUUGUUCGAGAAAUCUAGGGCAGAGACUGCUAUGGCUCAUAAGGUAAACCACGAGAAUGACUAUUUGUUCAAGAUUGUUCCGAUUGAGGAUUCCAACAUUGGGAAGUCCAACAUUCUUUCAAGAUUUACUAGAAACGAGUUCUACUUGGAGUCCAAAUCCACCCUUGAUCUUUUGGGUUAGAUAAACAAGUUUUGUUGAUACUAGAUAUAAGUGAACUAGUUUUGUUGACAUUUUGUUAAUAUUGGAUAUAGGUGAAUUAGUUUUAUUGAUAUUUUGUUGAUAGUGGAUAUAGGUAAAAGACAAGUUUUGAUAUGGUAUACCUUUAGGCUACACAUAUAUUUGUUUAUAUCGACAUAUAGAUGAAAUGUUUAGGCUAUUGUUAGAAGUUUGGGCUGCACAUAUAUGUUGUAAUGAAGUAUGUAAUAACCAACUAAUAUAUUUAUGGUUCAUUGAUAUAUAUAUGCAAUUUCUUUGAUGGAAA